CCUACGGGGGGCUGCAGUGGGGAAUCUUGCGCAAUGGGCGAAAGCCUGACGCAGCGACGCCGCGUGGGUGACGAAGGCCUUCGGGUCGUAAAACCCUGUUGCAGGGGACGAAGGAAGUGACGGUACCCUGCCAGAAAGCCCCGGCUAACUACGUGCCAGCAGCCGCGGUAAUACGUAGGGGGCGAGCGUUGUCCGGAAUUACUGGGCGUAAAGGGUGCGUAGGCGGCCCUUUAAGUCAGAUGUGAAAGGCCACGGCUUAACCGUGGGAUUGCAUUUGAAACUGGAGGGCUUGAGUGUCGGAGAGGGUAGUGGAAUUCCCAGUGUAGCGGUGAAAUGCGUAGAUAUUGGGAGGAACACCAGUGGCGAAGGCGACUACCUGGACGAUAACUGACGCUGAGGCACGAAAGCUAGGGGAGCAAACAGGAUUAGAUACCCGUGUAGUC
rnacentral:rRNA from 1 species